rnacentral:piRNA from 1 species
UGAGAAAGAUGACUUUCAAGGUGUGU